AUGGCUUCUCGGCCUUUUGGCUAAGAUCAAGUGUAGUAUCUGGUGCUUUAUCAUUUUAAUAUCUGAUACGUCCUCUAUCCCGAGGACAAUUAUAUUAAAUGGGAUUUUUGUAAUUAGGAGGAUGGGAGUAAGAGCUUGCUCCCGUCACUUCAAUGUUAUCGACCUGUAUUGCCAGUAACCUCCAGAAACAGUGCACUCCCC
rnacentral:snRNA from 1 species